rnacentral:rRNA from 1 species
AACGAACGCUGGCGGCAUGCCUAACACAUGCAAGUCGAACGAGACCUUCGGGUCUAGUGGCGCACGGGUGCGUAACGCGUGGGAACCUGCCUUUAGGUUCGGAAUAACUCAGAGAAAUUUGAGCUAAUACCGGAUGAUGUCUUCGGACCAAAGAUUUAUCGCCUUUAGAUGGGCCCGCGUUGGAUUAGCUAGUUGGUGGGGUAAAGGCCUACCAAGGCGACGAUCCAUAGCUGGUCUGAGAGGAUGAUCAGCCACACUGGGACUGAGACACGGCCCAGACUCCUACGGGAGGUAGCAGUGGGGAAUAUUGGACAAUGGGCGAAAGCCUGAUCCAGCAAUGCCGCGUGAGUGAUGAAGGCCUUAGGGUUGUAAAGCUCUUUUACCCGAGAUGAUAAUGACAGUAUCGGGAGAAUAAGCUCCGGCUAACUCCGUG